UACGAAGGGGGGCUAGCGUUGCUCGGAAUGACUGGGCGUAAAGGGCGCGUAGGCGGAUUUGCCAGUCAGGGGUGAAAUCCCGGGGCUCAACCUCGGAACUGCCUUUGAUACUGAGGAUCUUGAGUUCGGGGAGAGGUGAGUGGAACUGCGAGUGUAGAGGUGAAAAUUCGUAGAUAUUCGCAAGAACACCAGUGGCGAAGGCGGCUCACUGGCCCCGAUACUGACGCUGAGGCACGAAAAGCGUGGGGGAGCAAACAGG
rnacentral:rRNA from 1 species